rnacentral:misc_RNA from 1 species
GAUGAAGAACGUAGCGAAAUGCGAUAAGUAGUGUGAAUUGCAGAAUUCAGUGAAUCAUCGAAUCUUUGAACGCACAUUGCGCCCCUUGGUAUUCCAUGGGGCAUGCCUGUUCGAGCGUCAUUUGUACCUUCAAGCUUUGCUUGGUGUUGGGUGUUUGUCUCGCCUUUGCGUGUAGACUCGCCUUAAAAUAAUUGGCAGCCGGCAUAUUGAUUUCGGAGCGCAGUACAUCUCGCGCUUUGCACUCAUAACGACAGCGUCCAAAAGUACAUUUUACACUCUUGACCUCGGAUCAGGUAGGGAUACCCGCUGAACUUAAGCAUAUCAAUAAGCGGAGGA